rnacentral:rRNA from 1 species
UACACUCCUGCGGGAGGCAGCAGUGGGGAAUUUUGGACAAUGGGCGAAAGCCUGAUCCAGCAAUGCCGCGUGAGUGAAGAAGGCCUUCGGGUUGUAAAGCUCUUUUGUCAGGGAAGAAACGGUGAAAGCUAAUAUCUUUUGCUAAUGACGGUACCUGAAGAAUAAGCACCGGCUAACUACGUGCCAGCAGCCGCGGUAAUACGUAGGGUGCAAGCGUUAAUCGGAAUUACUGGGCGUAAAGCGUGCGCAGGCGGUUUUGUAAGUCUGAUGUGAAAUCCCCGGGCUCAACCUGGGAAUUGCAUUGGAGACUGCAAGGCUAGGAUCUGGCAGAGGGGGGUAGAAUUCCACGUGUAGCAGUGAAAUGCGUAGAUAUGUGGAGGAACACCGAUGGCGAAGGCAGCCCCCUGGGUCAAGAUUGACGCUCAUGCACGAAAGCGUGGGGAGCAAACAGGAUUAGAAACCCCAGUAGUCCC